GACGAACGCUGGCGGCGUGCUUAACACAUGCAAGUCGAACGGAAAGGCCCUGCUUUUGUGGGGUGCUCGAGUGGCGAACGGGUGAGUAACACGUGAGUAACCUGCCCUUGACUUUGGGAUAACUUCAGGAAACUGGGGCGAAUACCGGAUAGGAGCUCCUGCUGCAUGGUGGGGGUUGGAAAGUUUCGGCGGUUGGGGAUGGACUCGCGGCUUAUCAGCUUGUUGGUGGGGUAGUGGCUUACCAAGGCUUUGACGGGUAGCCGGCCUGAGAGGGUUACCGGCCACAUUGGGCCUGAGAUACGGCGCAGACUCCUACGGGAGGCAGCAGUGGGGAGUAUUGCACAAUGGGGGGAAGCCUGAUGCAGCAACGCCGCGUGCGGGAUGACGGCCUUCGGGUUGUAAACCGCUUUCGCCUGUGACGAAGCGGGAGUGACGGUAAUGGGUAAAGAAGCACCGGCUAACUACGUG
rnacentral:rRNA from 1 species